AGUCUUGUAACCAAGACUUACUUAUGUUGCGAUUGUCUGUAGCUGUUUAGCGAAGUUAUGUAAAUGUCAACCAAUCUGAAAUUUUGUUCAAAAGUUCCUGAUCACUUUGUACAGAAAGCACUUUAAGAAUCCCAAUUAAGCAAAGCACUAUUUUUUUUACUGGGGAAACAACGUGUUGCUCAAUUUCCUAUUGUCUAUGAAACCUGCAUAAAGUCCAACCCAGACCCGUUGCGGUUGAGUCGGUUGCACUCAUAGUCACCCUACAGAACAGAGUGGAAACUGCCCCGUAGUGUUUCCAAGGCUGUAAUCUUCAAGACAGCAGACUGCCACAUCUUUCUCCCAUGGAGGGGCCGGGGGGUUUGAACCGCUGACCUUUCUGUUAGCAGCCGGGCGCUUAACCACUGCGCCACCAGGGCUCCAUGACCUGCGUAGCAAUCUGUUAGUGGUGUCCUGAGUUUUUUUUUUGACACCAUCAGCUAAACCAAAGGCCAGGCUCGGUGGCCGAAUGAUCUAGUCAGUUCACUUCCUUCUCAGAACUCCAAUUUCCCCAUCUCUAAGAUGUCUCUGGCAACCCUGGUAGCGUAGUGGUUAAGAGCUUGGUUGCUAAUCAAAAGGCUGACAGUUCAAUUCUACCAGGUGUUCCUUGGAAACCGUAUGGGGCAGUUCUACCCUGUCUUUUAGAGUCACUGUAAGCUGGAAUCAGCUCAAUGGUGAUGGGUUUGGUUUUGGUUAAGAUGUCUUCCACUUAAGGUAGUAAGAUGGAAUGAGAUAAUGAACUGACCCCUCCCAGCACCUCUCAGCCAGCCAGCCCUCUGGAACUGACUCCUUCUUGUACCCCGGGGGUGAGGUGACUUCACCCCCCACCUACCCACCCUCUGCUGGCCCUAAUUCUGACCUGAAUCCUGAACUCCAGCUUUUUGCUGGGACUGAAUGAGCCUGGCUCAGUAAAUAUUAGUCACCAUCAUCAUCAUUACAACCGACCGACCCCUUGUUACUUUUUUUUCUCUUUUCCAGUUGGAGUCACAGUAUUUCAGAUCGAGCUGGGCUGGCUGAGACCCCUUGUUUGGCUCCUGCUCACACUCCUGGAAGCACCACAAGCUUAAGAUGCUUCUUUCUUCAAGCUCAGGUCUCCUGGGCCCUACAUGUCUUAAAAUCUCAUUUUUGUAAAACCAAAGCCAAACCUGUUGCCAUCGAGUUGACUCCAACUCCUGGCAACCCCGUGUGUUGCCGACUAGAACAGCUCCACUGGCUGUAACCUUUACAGGAGCAGACCGCCAGGCCUUUGUUCCACACCACCACCAGCUUGCUGUCCUAAAAAAAUCACAGACUCUCAUAAGGAAUGAAAGGAAAGCUCGUGUCUGCAGCGCUGGCCCCAGCAACCCCACUCCAGAGGAACCCAUGUGAACACCUUUUUCUACGUAUUCAAACGUGUCAACAUAAAUAAUCAUAAUUAGUUGUUUUUAACUGAGAAGUUAUGCGUGUGCCUGGCAAAAGUUCCAAUGGGCUAGAAGAUAUAAAAGAGAUUAAACAAGCAAGCAAGCGAAGCAGAGAUGGGGGAAGAGGGACACCAAGCCAUGUGAAGAUCACAAGAACAGAAGCUCAAAGAGACAAGGACCUUCCUCCAGAGCUGACAGAGAGAGAAAGCCUUCCCCUAGAGCUGGCACCCUGAAUUCAGACUUUUACCUUCCUAAACUGUGAGAAAAUAAAUUUCUGUUUGUUAAAGGUAUUUACUUGUGGUAUUUCUCUUAUAGCAGCACUAGAUAACUAAGAAAACCAGUCUCCUGUCAAGGGGCAUUUGGAUUAUGUAUUAGUUUCCUAGGAUGGCCAGAUCAAAAAUAUCACAAAAUGGGUGGCUUAUAAGAACAGAAAUUUAUUGUCUACGAGUUCUGGGAGCUAGUAGUCCAAAUUCAGGGUGUCCACAGAGCUGUGUUCUCUCCCAAGGCUCUAGGGGAAGAUGCUUUCUUGUCUCUCCCAGUGUUAUGGAUUGAAUUGUGUCCCCCUCAAAAUAUGUGUGGAACAGACCGUCAAUUGCUCAUAUGCAAGUUCAAGCUGAAACUGAAAGAAAUCAGAGCAAGUACACAAGAGCCAAAAUUUGACCUUGAGUAUAUCCCACCUGAACUUAGAGACCAUCUGAAGAAUAGAUUUGACGCAUUGAGCACUAGUGAGCGAAGGCCAGACAAGUUGUGGAAUGACAUCAAGGACAUCAUACAUGAAGAAGGCAAGAGGUUAUUGAAAAGACAGGAAAGAAAGAAAAGACCAAGUUGGAUGUCAGAAGAGACUCUGAAACUUGCUCUUGAACAUCGAGCAACUAAAGCAAAAGGAAGAGUUGAUGAAGUAAAAGAACUGAACAGAAGAUUUCAAAGGGUGUAUCGAGAAGACAAAGUAAAAAUAUUAUAACGACAUGUGCAAAGAGCUAGAGAUGGAAAACCAAAAGGGAAAAACACACUCAGCGUUUCUCAAGAUGAAAGAACUGAAGAAAAAUUCAAGCCUCGAGUUGCAAUAGUGAAGGAUUCUAUGGGGAAAAUAUUAAAUGAUGCAGGAAGCAUCGAAAGAAGAUAGAAGGAAUACACAGAGUCAUUAUACCAAAAAGAAUUAGUCGAUAUUCAACCAUUUCAAGAGGUGGCAUAUGAUCAGGAACUAAUGGUACUGAAGAAAGAAGCCCAAGCUGCUCUGAAGGCAUUGGCGAAAAACAAGGCUCCAGGAAUUGAUGGAAUAUCAAUUGACAUGUUUCAACAAACAGAUGCAGCGCUG